rnacentral:misc_RNA from 1 species
GAUGAAGAACGUAGCGAAAUGCGAUAAGUAAUGUGAAUUGCAGAAUUCAGUGAAUCAUCGAAUCUUUGAACGCACCUUGCACCCUUUGGACUGCUCCAAAGGGUAUGCUCGUUUGAGUGUCAUUGUACUCUCACACUCUCUGAUCCUUUGGAUUUGGGGAGCAGUGGACUUGGGUGCUUGCUGCUUCCUUGUGGCUCACCUGAAAUGCAUCAGUGCAUCUCUCGAUUGGACAUAGUACGGCGUGAUAAGUGUCUUCGCCGGCACCUCAUAUGAGGGUGGCCGAUCGGGAGCUCUGUGCUUUCAAACCGUCUUCGGACAACGCUGACAACUUGACCUCAAAUCGAGUAGGACUACCCGCUGAACUUAAGCAUAUCAAUAAGCGGAGA